GACCUUAGACCAUGACAGAGCAGGUCGUCACAAACAGGAACCAGUUUGAAGUGCCUCUGAGCCAGUUCAGACUGGUUCUGUAGGCCCAGUUUGAGACAUGGAAAAGAAUCAGGAAACUUCUCUGUAUAAGUUUCCAUUUAAGAUAGAGCAGAUAGAAAAUAAGUAAUCACACAGUUAAUAAUUAAUCGAAAGCUCAUAAAAGAUUCUGCCAGGAAUAUGAAAGUGAAAGUGAACGUCCUCAUGGUUCAAACAUAUCGACGGAGGUGGAGGUCACGCAGGAGAAUCCUUGAGAGUUCCCGCCACUCGUCUUCACGGUUGGAUAAUUGAAGUUCCCAUCAUAUCACUCCUGAAUUCCGAAGUCUCUCAAAUGACCAGCAGAGGGCGACUCCACUGAUCGCAAACAGAAGACAAGUUCCAGUUGGAGAAUCUGUGUUUGAAAAGCCUCACGAAUGCACCGAGAGCCCAGAGCAGCUCAUCCAGAGGGGCUCGUUCCACAUGAGGCACAAAUCAGCUUUCAGCAAGGGCAGAUGGAUGAGGCUCAUCCCUCGCUCCGGAGGUGUGGAGUGACAGAUGACAGAGGGAUUGAUACAGCGGGGGGGGGAGCGAGAGCCGGUCACCGCCGCCGGUAACGGAAAACAGACGCAAAGGUCAGGCUGAUCGAUCGGGAGUCGAGGAGGAAACGAACUGACUCUGACCUGAAACACAACUUUCACCAGCCGGGAAACAACCGAGCAAACCAGUGAGAUCUACAAUCCCACUCCAGACACUGAAGGAUGAACCAGACACCAGCCAUGGAAAGGAACCAGUCCGUUUUGAGCUCUGAACUGGGAACUCUUACACUCUCUGAUCCAUCGUGUGGAGAAUGAAACUGAACUUUGAAGAAACGACACAGGAAAUGGCCGAUUCAUCCUCGAGCAAACAGUUUGAGUUUACAGCUAGUGAGACUUUACUUGAAAGGAACUCCAGGACACUUUUCUGAAAACCAAACUUCCCCAUCCC